CGGGCUAUGGCGCAGCUUGGUAGCGCGUCCGUCUGGGGGACGGAAGGUCGUGAGUUCGAAUCUCGCUAGCCCGACCA
rnacentral:tRNA from 1 species